UACGUAGGGAGCAAGCGUUGUCCGGAUUUAUUGGGCGUAAAGAGCUCGUAGGCGGUUUAGAAAGUCAGGUGUGAAACCUCCAGCUCAACCUGGAGACGCCACUUGAUACUUCUAUGACUUGAGUUCGGUAGGGGACCAUGGAAUUCCUGGUGUAGCGGUGAAAUGCGCAGAUAUCAGGAGGAACACCGAUGGCGAAGGCAGUGGUCUGGGCCGAUACUGACGCUGAGGAGCGAAAGCGUGGGGAGCGAACAGG
rnacentral:rRNA from 1 species